ACUUAAGGAUGUAAGGCUAAAACCGCGCCAUCCCGCCGGCAGCUUCAAAGCGCAACUUCCUGUUGCUUCACCUACACUCGUACGCUUUUGUAUGUCGCAACGCCUUCAUGACCCACUUCCUGCUGG
rfam:Bacillus galactosidilyticus strain PL133 scaffold000103, whole genome shotgun sequence.